CCGUGGACCACACACAAUUACUACACAAUUCCAGAGGCCCUUAGAGGGGACGGGCCUCCAGCAAAGGAUUCGUGAGUCAUCAGCUAAUGAGGAUCGUAAGGACAGCAAUCGCUUUUACUCUAAUUUGCGGAGGGCCGUACCUGCGAGAAGGACCCGGCUGGCACUUGCUCAUUCAAACUUCACAGCAACCGAAGGAAUUCGGUACCACGGAGGGACCCAUCUUACAGCCGAGAAAACCGAGGCUUAGAGAUCAUCCACACCCAGUGAGUGCAGAAGCCAGAUGGAUCCUCAGCUCCUAGGCGGUCCUGCCUCCAGAUAAAGCAGUUCUUCAUCUGGAGAUUAAAAGCACAGGAAUUAUUCAAGGCUGGUUUCGGUUCUCUUCUGGCGACGACCGCAUCUUCGUACUCAAGGCACAGAUUACGGGUCAGCUCAAUUCGCCAGCGGCCGGAGGCUGCCUCCAAGCACCGAGCAGGACGGGAGGGAUGCUCUGCAAGCCGCGUCCGGCUGGAGGCGGCGGAGGCCUGAACGGGUCAUGGUCCCCGAAGUCACUAGGGACAGGGGACGUGGAUGGAAUAUAAGAGGGGAGAUCGACAGUCAAUCCCACCUCUGUCCCUUUCCGCCUGUGACCCCGGUCAGCUCAGUCUUCUCAUCUGUGACAUGGGCGUUGACACGAGUGUUCAGCAUGGGAACCCACCCCCGUCGUCUUCCACUGGUGCUGUCACCCGCGGCCUGGCUGAGCCGGGCACAGUGGGAGCCUCUGCAGGGCCCAGGGAAGGGGCAUGGCGGUGCCGAAGGACACGAGAAAUGGAAAGAGAGGGUUCAGCCACUCUGGCCUCCCAGGGGCGGCGAUGUGAGAACACGGCCCCAAGAUCCUUUGACGCUCCUCCUGUGGAAAGGUGGGGUUCCCGUUCCCUCCCCUUGAUGCUGGCCUCCAUGGCAGAAGGUGACGGAGUCGACAGUCCUCCCAGAACUGCCAGCUCCUGCUUUUUGCCUCUUGGGUGCUCCCUCUUGGAACCCAGCCGCCAUGCUGCGAGGAAGCCCAGAGGUCCCGAGGACAGGCCCGCGUGGAAGGCCCGGUUGUGCGUGUGUGUGUGUGUGUGUGAGCUCCUCAGAAAAGGGCAUCCAGCCCCAGUAGGUGCCCCAGCAGACGCCACGUGGAGCGGGGGUGAGCUGACCCUGCCAAGAUCGGCCCAAAUUGCAGAUUCACAAGCAAAUAAAUAAUUGUCGUCAUUGUGA
rnacentral:lncRNA from 1 species